rnacentral:misc_RNA from 1 species
UGCAUAAAUUGACUAGGGAGGGUGCAUUGCAGUUUGGGCUUCACCGUGCCGUCAUCAUUGGUCCUUUGCUCGCAUGAAGCGAUUUCCUUUUUUGCAUACUGUCAAAAUAAAAAAUAGUUAGGGAAGAAGUUUUCCUAUAGAUGAAAGAAAAUAUGAGCCAUCCAAUUCUUUUGAAUAUGACUGAUCACUUAUUUCAAACCUGGAAGGUUCAGGGUUUUCUUUUCUUGUCCAUGAUUAUCAUCAUAAAAGAAUUUUGGAAAACUUCUUCCCUAACUAUUUUUUAU